CGGGCAAGGGAGCGGGUUCCUGGGUCCCAUCUGCGACAUGAAAAUAACGUGUGAUUUUUUUAGAGUAAUUACUACUUUUAGCAGUGCUUCCAUGCUGAGACGAAACCGUAUUUUCCUUCUGUCACGAUCCAGCGGGCGCGUGCGUGGAUUUGGAAGGACCAAAAGAGAAAAGCGCGUCUACCUACAGCGUGAUUGCAUACAAAUCCCCGGUCAAGAAAUAAUAGUCAUUACAUUGUCUUUUCCAAAAACGGGCAUAGAAACAUAAGCACGGUGUGAUUACCGUCUUUGAGCGCGUGAGGAGCUCUGAUUUUUCAGAUAGAAGCGCUGAUACCUGAUUUUCCGUGGUAAUUCCUGGGGCAAUAAAGAAGCCAGCUGUGAAGCGAACAAAACGUUAGGAAAAUGUCUCGGGUCCUUCGAACUUGCACGUAGAUCCUGUCAAGGUCAGGCACAAGGUCAUCGACUCAGGCGGUCAGCAAGCGUUUCUACACGUCUGCAACUGCGGUCAAGUACACACCAGGUCUCCUCGGGAAAACGGCUAGACGAUACAGUCAUCCUACACAGACAUCCCCAUUCUUUUCUGAUGACACAAAAGUGUUAUGAAAGUUGUCACUGAUAGUUGGAGUAAAAGGCGUUAUUUUAUCAGUGAUAUGAUGAACAAGUUUACACCCUACUAUCUAGUGUUUAGAAGUCGGUCUCCUUUCAUUUUCUCGGAGCGCCAGCUUUAAGUACAUGUGAACUUUGUUCGAAUCUUGUUGACGUGAAUGUCGGCCUUGGUUUACGCCUGAAAAGUCCUUGUAGAUAUUUCAACUGUAAAUGUUUCUGACCUCUUGUCACUACUGUUCUGCACACAAUGGCUGUUUACAUCUGGUGGUCCCGUGCUGACUGUGACAUGACUACUAUUGUUGCUCAAACCUGACUACACCACGUACAAAAUAAACACACGUCUCGCAGUG